CGCUGGGAUUUGCAUAUACUGGACAUACUCCGCAACGUUUUAUCUUCUGACCCUUUUGGACCUUUAUUAUGUUUCGGUAACGCUCAUUGAAGAACUUAAGUGAGACAGUUGUAUGAUGGUAACCAUCAGGAAAGCCAACAUUCAAGCAAGGUUUAAAACAAAGUAUGACAUGAUCUGAAUCAAGGGAGUAUUUAGAAUAGGUAGAAAAACCCAGAUCAACAUAUUUGGUUUCAGAGAGAGUCUUUAUUUCUAAGUCGGAUCGACAGCCGACGUAAACAUUACGAAAACGAUCAGAAUAAAGUUGCUUAAAAUCAAGAACAGCACAAAAAGCAAACCCGAUUAAGUUUCUGCAAAAAGAGUGCGGUGGCAGUUGAAUACGUAUCGAAGAUCCUGAACUUUGAUUGCUGAACCAGUCAGGAAUUUCGCUCCCAGGUAAAACAAUUAGGGAUCCCCAGAGUUCAGAAAGUUUCUGUGAAAUGACAUUUAAAAAAAGAAAAUUGUAAAUUGAAAACCAUGAUUUCAGAUAUAACAAAGAGGGACAGAGUAAACAAGAGAGGGAAUUUGAUACCUCGUUGAUUGCCUUUUCAUAGCCCAGUCUCAGUGAUGCAAUUGCCAUAUGCCGAAUUCUUAGUNNNNNNNNNNNNNNNNNNNNNNNNNNNNNNNNNNNNNNNNNNNNNNNNNNNNNNNNNNNNNNNNNNNNNNNNNNNNNNNNNNNNNNNNNNNNNNNNNNNNNNNNNNNNNNNNNNNNNNNNNNNNNNNNNNNNNNNNNNNNNNNNNNAGUCCCAAAGAAGAUAAACCUAAUAAUAAUGAUCGAGGCAAUGAUGCCAAACCUUUGCAGCUAGAGAAAGAAAGAAUUCCAAGUACGUUUGAAUCUGUAACAGAGGAUGGUAGUUGACUAAUAGCUGAUUUAGCUGCUGAGAUGUAAUACAAAGAUUCUAAAUUGCCAAUGUUAUCCGGCAACUUAUCAAGUUUAGAGCAACCAUUUAUGAACAAUGAUUCAAGCCCCGGUAGAUUUUCAAAUGACGAUGGCAGCUCUGUAAUUGCCGUCCGGUCUAAAUAGAUGCGUUUUAAAUGUUCCAUUUUCUCCAAGAUUUCUGGGAAACGCUCAAGGUUCAAGCAGCCAUGAAGAAAAAGAUCAACCAAAGAUUUCAAUUUACAAAACCUAGUUGAAAUCCUCUUCAGCCGUUCGCAAUCCCUCAAAUCCAACUUUUCAAGAUCAGUUAGGCACUCUAUUGAUGAUGGAACUUCUUCUAUUGCAGACUGGCCUAAGUAUAGCCGUGUAAUUUUCCCAGAAAUCUGUGGAAACUCUAUGAGAUUAACACAAGAGGAGAAAUUAAUAGUUACUGGACAAACAAAAUGAAGAUUGCUUGGAAAAGACCUAAGACUUUUGCAGCCCUCAAAAGACAACGCACUGAGAUACUUGAAAUUCUGGAUAGAUGAGGGAACACAAGCCUUUUCUCCUUCCCAAGGUUGCUCAACUUUACUAAAACGCAAAUUCAGUUCAACAAGGUUCUUUGGCUUGAAAUUUGAUGGCAGUGUCCUUAAUGGAUAUGUGUCCCAAUGAAGAUAUCUCAAUUUUUUAGGAAGAUAAUCUAGGCCAUUUGGAAGCUGCACUUUAGAGUAUGAAAGAUGCUCUUCAAUGCUCAUACUUGGAAGCUUUUCAAUCCCCAAAAUCUUGUUGUUUGCUUUUCCAUCAAGUUUCAAGCAGUUAGUAAACCGAAAAUAAAUUGGUUGUGACAGUCGAUAUUCCGGAUGCCAUUCACAGCAAGGUUUAAAACCAAGUAUGACAUGAUCUGAAUCAAUGAGGUCUUCAAUUGAGUGCGAAUCGAAACUGUUUAAAACCAAGUAUGACAUGAUCUGAAUCAUGGGGGUCUUUAAUAGAGUCCCAAUAGAAACUUGCCUUCAAUUGCAUCGGUCCCCUUAUUAAAAAAAAAAAAAAGAAUGAGUAAGCCUAAAACUCAAAAGAAACAUUCGUAAACUUUAUUAAUUAAGAGCUCCUUAAACAAAAAUAAAUUACCCGAAGCAUGUUACAACCCGUCAAGUCAAGAGAUUCUAGACACAAUGGAAGUUCUGGUAAUGACUGAAGCAUCUUACAACCCUCCAAGUGAAGAGACCUCAGCUGCGACAGUUGCUUGAUACUUGCAGGUAAGCUCUCAAAGCUAUUUCCACUUAGAUUUAAUGUUAAGUUUCUGCAAAAAGAGUGCGGUGGCAGUUGAAUACGUAUUGAAGAUCCUGAACUUUGAUUGCUGAACCAGUCAGGAAUUUUGCUCCCAGGUAAAACAAUUUGGGAUCGCCUGAGUUCAGAAAGUUUCUGUGAAACGACAUUUAAAAAAAGAAAAUUGUCUUUUAGUCCAUAGAAUCCAAAAUGUUAGUUCAAAAUUAGGGAAAAAGUCAACAGGCAAUCUCUUGUGGAAUUUCCAUUACAGCACAGUUCCUCAUAUCUAGAUGUCCCAAAUAAGCUAAACCUAAUAAAAACGAUCGAGGCAAUGAUACCAAACCUUUGCAGCGAGAGAAGUAAAGAACUCCAAGUCUGUUUGAAUAUGCAACAGAGGAUGAUGGUAGUUGACUAAUAGCUGAUCCAACUGCUGAGAUGAUAAACAAACAUUUUAAAUUGCCAAUGUUAUCCGGCAACUUAUCAAGCUUAGAGCAAUCUUCUACGAACAAUUCUUCAAGCCCCGGUAGAUUUUCAAAUGACGAUGGCAGCUCUGUAAUUGCCGUCUUGUUUAAAUUGAUGCGUUCUAAAUGUUCCAUUUUCUCCAAGAUUUCUGGGAAGCGCUCAAGGUUCACGCAGCCAUUAAGAAAAAGAUCAACCAAAGAUCUCAAUUUACAAAACCUAGUUGAAAUCCUCUUCAGCCGUUUGCAAUACUUCAAAUUCAACUUUUUAAGAUCAGUUAGGCACUCUAUUGAUGACGGAACUUCUUCUAUUGCAGACUUGCUCAAGUUUAGCGAUGUUACUUUCCCAGAAAUCAGUGGAAACUCUAUGAGAUUAACACAAUAGGAGAAAUUAAUAGUUACUGGACAAACAAAAUGAAGAUUGCUUGGAAAAGACCUAAGACUUUUGCAGCCCUCAAAAGACAACGCACUGAGAUACUUGAAAUUCUGGAUAGAUGAGGGAACACAAGCCAAGUUUGUAUAAUCCAAAAGAUAUGUUUCAACAUUUGGGGUUUCAAAUGGGCCUGGCAUCUUAAUGAAAUGUUGAGAAUGGCUGAGGUUAAUAGAUUUUAACUUGAAAGCUUCCUGCAAUAACAGAUAUAUAAAGACUAUAUUAAUUAAAAAGCAACAUUGAAUUCAACAAUUAAUUGCACGUAUAUUUAAAGAAAGAAAAAAUUAAUGUUUUAGUUUUAGUACAGAACUUACCUUUUCUCCUUCCCAAAGUUGCUCAACUUUACUAAAACGCAAAUUCAGUUCAACAAGGUUCUUUGCCUUGAAAUUUGAUGGCAGUGUCCUUAAUGGAUAUGUGUCCCAAUGAAGAUAUCUCAAUUUUUUAGGAAGAUAAUCUAGGCCAUUUGGAAGCUGCACUUUAGAGUAUGAAAGAUGCUCUUCAAUGCUCAUACUUGGAAGCUUUUCAAUCCCAUAAAAUUUGAGCAAUCUCAUAUUAGACAUAUUUGUGAAGGCUCCGGGGUCUAAAUUGAUGCGUUUUAUUUUGGACAAAUCCAGAAAUAUGCCUUCAAUUGCAUCGGUCCCCUUAUUAAAAAAAAAAAAAAGAAUGAGUAAGCCUAAAACUCAAAAGAAACAUUCGUAAACUUUAUUAAUUAAGAGCUCCUUAAACAAAAAUAAAUUACGCAAUCUUUGAUUUUAUUUUUUUAAUAUAUUAAAUAUCUAUAUGCGAGAAAAGAAAAUUUUGGGGACCAUUGCAAAAUUAAACUAACUGAAAAAAAAUUCAAAAUUUCUCUAAUUUACAAACCUGUUAUCUUAAUAUCUAGAAGUUGAGAAGACAAGGCCUAUUUGAUUGGUAUAAGAUUUCGAUUUUUUUUUUUUUUAGUCCAUAGAAUCCAAAAUGUUAGUUCAAAAUUAGGGAAAAAGUCAUUUUUUUUCCACUAGCUGUAAUUGUAUCCAAGUCAAAUUGAGAUACGACCCUUUUCAAAAGGAUUUAACCAUCUUACAGCCUCCUUAAGGCACAUUUAAGCUAAAAGGAGUGAUUGGAGGCAGAACUAGGUGGGCCAAUCAGUCCAUUUUAUUAGUGACCGUUGCUUAAAAAAAAUUAUACUCUAAACCACACUUACUUUUUUGAAAAAAAAAUGUAAUUAUAUUGAAAUAAAAUCAGGUGGGCCAAUCCUCAUGGCACUCACUUUGUUCUAACACUCUUCACUAAAUUUGAAGAAAAAUAAAAUUAUACUCUUCACACUCGUAUUCAACAUUCCAAAAAUUUACAAAACCUAGUUGAAAUCCUCUUCAGCCGUUUGCAAUACUUCAAAUUCAACUUUUUAAGAUCAGUUAGGCACUCUAUUGAUGACGGAACUUCUUCUAUUGCAGACUUGCUCAAGUUUAGCGAUGUUACUUUCCCAGAAAUCAGUGGAAACUCUAUGAGAUUAACACAAUAGGAGAAAUUAAUAGUUACUGGACAAACAAAAUGAAGAUUGCUUGGAAAAGACCUAAGACUUUUGCAGCCCUCAAAAGACAACGCACUGAGAUACUUGAAAUUCUGGAUAGAUGAGGGAACACAAGCCAAGUUUGUAUAAUCCAAAAGAUAUGUUUCAACAUUUGGGGUUUCAAAUGGGCCUGGCAUCUUAAUGAAAUGUUGAGAAUGGCUGAGGUUAAUAGAUUUUAACUUGAAAGCUUCCUGCAAUAACAGAUAUAUAAAGACUAUAUUAAUUAAAAAGCAACAUUGAAUUCAACAAUUAAUUGCACGUAUAUUUAAAGAAAGAAAAAAUUAAUGUUUUAGUUUUAGUACAAAACUUACCUUUUCUCCUUCCCAAAGUUGCUCAACUUUACUACAACUCAAAUUCAGUGCAACAAGGUUCUUUGGCUUGAAAUUUGAUGGCAGUGUCCUUAAUGGAUAUGUGUCCCAAUGAAGAUAUCUCAAUUUUUUAGGAAGAUAAUCUAGGCCAUUUGGAAGCUGCACUUUAGAGUAUGAAAGAUGCUCUUCAAUGCUCAUACUUGGAAGCUUUUCAAUCCCAUAAAAUUUGAGCAAUCUCAUAUUAGACAUAUUUGUGAAGGCUCCGGGGUCUAAAUUGAUGCGUUUUAUUUUGGACAAAUCCAGAAAUAUGCCUUCAAUUGCAUCGGUCCCCUUAUUAAAAAAAAAAAAAAGAAUGAGUAAGCCUAAAACUCAAAAGAAACAUUCGUAAACUUUAUUAAUUAAGAGCUCCUUAAACAAAAAUAAAUUACGCAAUCUUUGAUUUUAUUUUUUUAAUAUAUUAAAUAUCUAUAUGCGAGAAAAGAAAAUUUUGGGGACCAUUGCAAAAUUAAACUAACUGAAAAAAAAUUCAAAAUUUCUCUAAUUUACAAACCUGUUAUCUUAAUAUCUAGAAGUUGAGAAGACAAGGCCUAUUUGAUUGGUAUAAGAUUUCGAUUUUUUUUUUUUUUAGUCCAUAGAAUCCAAAAUGUUAGUUCAAAAUUAGGGAAAAAGUCAUUUUUUUUCCACUAGCUGUAAUUGUAUCCAAGUCAAAUUGAGAUACGACCCUUUUCAAAAGGAUUUAACCAUCUUACAGCCUCCUUAAGGCACAUUUAAGCUAAAAGGAGUGAUUGGAGGCAGAACUAGGUGGGCCAAUCAGUCCAUUUUAUUAGUGACCGUUGCUUAAAAAAAAUUAUACUCUAAACCACACUUACUUUUUUGAAAAAAAAAUGUAAUUAUAUUGAAAUAAAAUCAGGUGGGCCAAUCCUCAUGGCACUCACUUUGUUCUAACACUCUUCACUAAAUUUGAAGAAAAAUAAAAUUAUACUCUUCACACUCGUAUUCAACAUUCCAAAAUUGAUAAAAUCGGGAGUUUUCUUUAAAAAUUUAAAAUUUGAAGACUUGUUCUCUUGACACCCUCAGUCAUUAAUUUUACCUAAUUAUGGUUUUUAUGAUUUUGGUUGUUUUGUUCAUAAAAAUGCUUUUACUAAAGGAUGUUCUGGUAAUAAUAAAAUUUAUAAAAAAAACAUGGGUGUGCUGAUAUAGUUGGAAAAAUAUGAGUGCAUAACUCCAAACAAAUAAAAGAUAUAUAUAUAUAUAUAUAAAUGGAGGAUUCUUACCUUAUUAUGCUUUAGUACGCGGCGGAUUUCCUUAGGAUCCCACAACCUGCUGCGUUUGCCUGGCUCUUUCUCAGAUUCUUGGCGAACAAUCUGUCGCCCCAUUUCUUGCAAUAUAUCAUGCAUCUGCAAGGAAUCACCUGAUAUUGAUAUGAGUGACUUAUCAAUAAGGACAUCCAGUCCAUCAGACUCAGAAUCAUCAAGAAUCCUUGCCAGAAAAUCUUUAUCCCCUCCCUCGAAGAAACACGCAAUAUCUAGAAAUAUGCUCUGCACCCUGGGCGUUAAUUCAUAUCUUCACCCUGGGCGUUAAUUCUUUAAAACUAAUCUUUAAUGUAUCAUAAAUACCAUGAAUAUCAGAUUCACAAAUCCGAUUUAAGUCGUCCAAUACAUUUUCCCAAUGGCUUUUCCUCUUGAGAUACAGGGAGGAACCCAACACCUUAAGAACUAAUGGAUUGCCUUUGGCAUACUUUACAAACCUCCGUGAGUGCCGAAUGGAUUGCCAUCGGCAUACCAUACAACCCUCCAUGAGUGCCGGUAGAGAUCUUCAGGACAAUGAUUUUCUUUAACAGCGAAGUUACAAAAAUGCUCGAAAGCCUCAUCAAAUUUCAAUCCAUUGACCCUAUAUAUUUUCUCCACUCCAAAUUUUUCGAGGACUCGUUUAUCCCUGGUGGUUACAACAAUUCUACUUCCUGGACCAUAUUGAUCAAGCCCUCCAAUCAAACCCUCUAAUUGUUCAUCUUUAUUCACAUCAUCGAGUACAAUCAACACCUUCAUGCGUCGGACCCUCCCUUUAGUAAAUUGUGGAAUAUUGGGACCAGCUACUUCAAGUUUUUCACUUAAUAUUGUCGAAAGCAUUUCCUUUUGUAGGUCUUCUAGGCCACCCUCUGUUUCUGAUUUUCUCCUAACAUUUUUUGCAAAGUAUUUACCAUCAAACUCACCAGAGAAUUGAUCGAAAAUAGCUUCAGCAAGGGUAGUUUUGCCUAUACCACCCGUGCCCCAAAUUCCAACAAUUUGGACAGUAUCCCACAAAUCCAUACACAAAAAUGGUUUAAUCUGCUCAAUUCGUGAAUUUAAUCCAACUAGGCCGUUGGAUGAGUCCGUUGAGACUGUUAUUUUUUCCAACUUCUUCAAAACAUCUUCGACAAUUUUGUUUACAAGUUGCGCAUCAAGCCUAAUAUGAAGGUGCAAAGAUGCAAAAACAUUGAGUCAAAUCGGGCCAAGACAGAAACAGAGAAAAGAUGAAUUAGGAAAGAGAGUUACCUGAAUUUCGUGGAUUCAUGGCCGGCUAGAUGGGAUGUUUCUGUCAGUGCAUCCCUCCACUUCUGAACCAUUUCUUGUUUAUCUUUGAACUGUUUUUUGAGCUCAUCAAAACGGUCUCCAAAUGUUCCGUUUUGAUGCCGCACAUCAGAUGGACUUACUCCAUAGAAGAAUGGAAUAAUAAUUUGGCCGUUUGUGUUCUUGCAUUCAAGAAUCUUGACAAGUUCAUUCAGGCACCAUUUUGAAGAAGCGUAGUCCUUCGAGAAAAUGACCACCGAAAUUUUUGAACCUUGGAUUGCGUUCAAAAGGGCGGGUGAAAUCUCAUCUCCUCGCCUAAGCCCUUCAUCAUCAAUAAAUGUUUUGAUUUUCUUUCCUUCAUACAAUUUAUCAUAGAGAUAGCAAGUAAAGCUCUUACGAGUGUCCUCCCCUCUAAAGUUGAGGAAGACUUCAUAAUUGGCACAAGAAGAAGAGGAAGCCAUGAAGGAAAUUUUAGAAAAUUGGUGACAGAAACAGAGAAUUAAUCUUGAGAGUUGAGAGAGGAGAUGUAAGAAUGAACAUGUGCGAAGAUUCUUGCGAGUACAUAGUAAAUAAUUGAAUGGCUGGAGCUUUCUUAGUUUCCUGGAAAUUUCCUGGAGCUUUCGUAUACAUGAUUUGUCAAGUCAUGAAACAUAAUCAUGAUAAUGGGGCAGACCAAAAAGAAAAGCAACAAUUCAAAUAUUUGAUUCAACCAGUAUAAAAAGGAAGGAAAAGCAAAGAAAGGAAAUGUUGAAAGUAGAGUUAGGGAAUUAUAAAAAGCUGAAGGAAAUUGGAAUUUUGUACAAUUUCUCCAGCGAGGAACUUUCACAGUCGUUACCUCAUUGUUACAGUUUAGAUUAAGAUUUGAGGGUGCAAGCAUUUACCUAGAUUUUACCUCCGCACUAAAUUCUUAAGUUUGAAAAAUUAUGAGACCUUUAUAUUGGAAGAUAUUAUAAUCGAAUCAAAACUUAAAAUUUUAAUAUUGUUAAUCUUUAAUCUUUAAAAAAAAUUACCUUGCCGUUACAAUUUGGAUUAAGAUUUGAAUAAGCAUUUACCUAAAUUUUAUCUCCGCCUGUAAAUUCUUAUGUUUUAAAAAUUAUGAGACCUUUAUAUUGGGAGAUAUUAUAAUCGAAUCAAAAUUUUGAAUUUCAAUAUUAUUAUUCUUUUAAAAAAAUUUGAGAUAACAGAGUGAUUGAUAAUAGAGAACUUGUCUAGGCAAACACAUGCAUACACAAAAAUGUGAUGGAUUCAAAAAGAAAUUAAAGUGAUAAUGUACGUGGAUCCUUAAAACAAAAAGCGAAAUCGCUUGGUGGCCCAGUAAAAUUAAGACUGAAUAUUUUUUACACGAGAAGUCAAGCUCAUAAAUGGCAAAAGCCAUUUCAUUUCACUUUUACGCGUCAUUGACUUUUGUAACACGGUGUAUGCAUCGUCAAGUGGGGCAAAAGGGUUUCGAUUACAGUGGGAAAACAUGAACAAGAAUGCAUAAUGAAUAAUUCUUUCGAUAAAGCGAAAAUUAAACACAGAAUAAUCCUAAAAUUUAAACUCUAAUAUCUUAUAAUGUAUUGAUUAAAAAUAAUCCUAAGAGUUCCCAAUUGAAACUUUCAUAAGUAUUUUUAUUGUUUUGGAUAAACAAAUUGCACUAGGAAAACAAUUUGGCAAAUUCAGAGGAUAAUGAAAAAUAGCUAUGCUUCAAUAGGCCAAAGAUUAGAGAACAAAGAAGAAUUAGUUAUUGAUAUACGAAAGAGAAACACUCCAAAAUUUCAAGCAAAAUAUUUUCAUAUACCAUUUCGAUUUUGGAAGGGGUGUGGUUUUGAACUUCAAUAGUUUCCUCUAAAAUCAAAAGGCAGCAAUUAAGCUAGAAAGAGCAAAGAAGACUUUUUGGUACCUUAUUGAAGGUAAACAUUAUGGAACUUCCAAUGUCAUUACCUCACUGUUUAAUUUUUAUUGAGAUUUGUGCAAGCAUUUACCUAAAUCUUACCUCUGCCUGUAAAUUCAUAAGUUUUGAAAAUUAUGAGACCUUAUAUCGGGAGAUAUUAUAAUCGAACUAAAACUUAAAAUUUCUUUUCUUUUCUUUUUUUAUCAUAAAAGGGCUCUUAAGAGAGCUACGACAACACUAAGUGGGAGUGUGCAACCCCAUGAACAUCAUUAAUCAAUAUGUUUAGCGUAUUUGGAGGAAUAGAUUGAAAGCAAUGUAAACCCAAAGGAAACAAAAAGCUGUACGAAGUAAGGAAAUCUGCUGCUACAUUGGUUUCUCGGUAGAUAUGAUCCACUUUGAUCAGCCAAUCACGCCAAAGGAGUUCUUCGAUGGCCUGAAUGAGAAUAAAAUGCUCAUUGACGGGAGGGUUUUAGUUAGAGAUUAACUUCAUAACACACAUGCUGUCUACUUCCACGUAAAACUUAAAAUUUCAAUAUUAUUAUUCUUUAAAAAAAACUGCUGUACGGCCAAGGCGGAUGUACGGUACAGCAGAACAAGAAUGCAUAAUGAAUAAUUCUUUCGAUAAAGCGAAAAUUAAACACAGAAUAAUCCUAAAAUUUAAACUCUAAUAUCUUAUAAUGUAUUGAUUAAAAAUAAUCCUAAGAGUUCCCAAUUGAAACUUUCAUAAGUAUUUUUAUUGUUUUGGAUAAACAAAUUGCACUAGGAAAACAAUUUGGCAAAUUCAGAGGAUAAUGAAAAAUAGCUAUGCUUCAAUAGGCCAAAGAUUAGAGAACAAAGAAGAAUUAGUUAUUGAUAUACGAAAGAGAAACACUCCAAAAUUUCAAGCAAAAUAUUUUCAUAUACCAUUUCGAUUUUGGAAGGGGUGUGGUUUUGAACUUCAAUAGUUUCCUCUAAAAUCAAAAGGCAGCAAUUAAGCUAGAAAGAGCAAAGAAGACUUUUUGGUACCUUAUUGAAGGUAAACAUUAUGGAACUUCCAAUGUCAUUACCUCACUGUUUAAUUUUUAUUGAGAUUUGUGCAAGCAUUUACCUAAAUCUUACCUCUGCCUGUAAAUUCAUAAGUUUUGAAAAUUAUGAGACCUUAUAUCGGGAGAUAUUAUAAUCGAACUAAAACUUAAAAUUUCUUUUCUUUUCUUUUUUUAUCAUAAAAGGGCUCUUAAGAGAGCUACGACAACACUAAGUGGGAGUGUGCAACCCCAUGAACAUCAUUAAUCAAUAUGUUUAGCGUAUUUGGAGGAAUAGAUUGAAAGCAAUGUAAACCCAAAGGAAACAAAAAGCUGUACGAAGUAAGGAAAUCUGCUGCUACAUUGGUUUCUCGGUAGAUAUGAUCCACUUUGAUCAGCCAAUCACGCCAAAGGAGUUCUUCGAUGGCCUGAAUGAGAAUAAAAUGCUCAUUGACGGGAGGGUUUUAGUUAGAGAUUAACUUCAUAACACACAUGCUGUCUAUAAAAAAGCACCAGUCGGGCAUGUCCCCAUUUCUUACCCGGGGCCGAAUCUCCUCGGCCGAAUGGUAUGAGUAGACUCUUGGUGAUGUGUUCUAUGUGGAGCACGUAAAACAGACCAGGAACUAGUACCAACCAGAAACGAGUACUGAUCAGAAACAAGCAUGACCAGAAACGCAUACCGACUAGAGACUUGUGGGUCCCUAAAAGAAAAGGCAAGCACAUAAACGAAAAAGCCAUUACAUUUCUAUUUUACAUGUCAUUCCUAAUUUUUGUAACACGGUGUGGCAGCAUAUGCACAAUCAAAUGAGGCAAAAGGGAUUCGACUAUCGUGGCAGAACAUGGACGAGGAUGCGUGAUGAAUAAUUCCUUCGAUAAAACGAAAAACAAAUGCAGAGAAAAGAAUUUCUUAUAUGACAAGAAAUCAAAGAAAUGUGAAGGAACAUGAUGAAGAAAUUGCAGACUGAUCAAUUAUCCCCAUGGACUCCUAUAAAUUCAACCAAAAUAACAAUUCGAAUCUUACCAAAUUCUUGAGUUAAAUUUAUUCAAUGCUUUUAUUUUUUUAGAGAAAUUUUUUCCAUUGCUACUUUCCCUUUUUUGGGGAAAUUAGAACCGCGGCAUGUAUAGAAAACAUUGAGGUGUAAAGCAACAUUAAUUUCAUGGGAUAUGCGUUAUACGCAUAAUAUAUUUUCAGUCCAAAUUCAACUAUACAAAGAGGCUUGAGAACUUAAAAUUAAGCACAAACUAAACAGACGAAGUAAAUACAUGAUUAUGCAACAUAACAUUAAUUCUCUUAAUUUAUAACUGUUUUUGCCACAUGAAUCUUGCACAGUUAAUCCUAAUUGAAGACUAAAAAAGAGCAAUUGGAAGAAGGUUUUGGAAUAGAAUGGUAUACAAUCGAUAUGAUCCUUUUCCAGUAGUCAACGCUAAUUAACUGCAGUUUCUAGACUCCUAAUUAUACUAGCCAUAGAAAACUGGUGAUCAAAUUAGAUUUUGAAAGGAAAUAAUGUUCAUUUUCCCUUCGCUGCCUUUUUUUUUCUUUUCUUUUUAUAGCAAAGAAUUAUAUCAUGAAAAGAAUCAAUUUAAUCACCUUUUCCAGCAGCACAAUUUUUCUUUUAUAAAAUUUGACCACAGAGACAAAGAAGAAUUAUUCAUACCUUCAUCAGUGAGGAAAUACUUUUCGGUAUGGCUAGGGUGAGAAAAGGCUUUCCACAAACACUUGUACUUUGUAUUCCUGUAAAUUUUCUUUAAAGUCAAUAAAAACCAUAAGUUCUUUACAAUAACCAUCUCUUUGAUAAAAAAGUGCCGUAUUCCUUUAGAAUUUAAAACCGGAAAAAUUGAAUCAGUGUCUUUGAAGAGACAUAAUGGUCGUAAUUCUUUAAAUGAGUUGGCUAUGGAAAUCCUUAUCCAAGAUUCUUUUACGCCAUAUUCUUUCGUAAACCAAAAUUCAUUUUGGAAUACUCUGUUGAGAAUGUCAAAUAAAACGGCAUUGAAGGAAGUUUUCAAAGGUAGAAUCCGCACUUGUCAAAGGGAUGAUCUGCACUUGUCAAAGACACGAUCCGCGUCAAACGAAUCGACACAUUUCCUUUCGUAUUCGCAUAUGUAAUCUUUGAAAAAAUGUAGCUUCUGCAUCUAUAAAUAACGCUCAGUGUAUAAUGUUUUAUUCAAGAAAAAAAACAAGUUUCUUCAUACUCGUCGUCCGAACAUACAGAGACCGUCUCUCAUAACUUCAGCCGAAUACUUGUGAUGAUGAUCAUUUGUGAUUUCAUCAGGCAAAGGGUUGAUGGUGAAAAUUUUUGUAUGUGUGAAGAAUUGAGCUGUGGAUAUAGGGGACUUAAGUGUAAUCGAAAGAGAGUUAUUAGGUCAUAGUGCAGAUUGCAUUCAGUUUAUGGGUCGCUAUGCAGAUAAUUUGUUGACGUGGCGAAAUCUGUUAUGGUCGUUAGAAUGGCUUAUAAUGUAUUGAUUAAGAAUAAUCCUAAGAGUUCCCGAUUGAAAUUUUUAAUGACUAUUUUUAUUGUUUUGGAUAUACAAAUUGCAUUAAGAAAAAAUAUUGUCAAAUUCAGAGGAUAACGGGAAAUAAUUAUGCUUCAAAAGGCCAGAGAUUUGAGAACAAAGAAGCAUUCAUUACUGAUAUACAAAAGAGAAACACUCCAAAAUUGCAAGCAAACUAGUUUCAUAUACUGUUUGGAUUCUGGAAGGGGUGAAGUUUUGAACUUCAGUUGUUCCUCUAAAAUCAAAAGCAGCAAUUAAGCGUUCUCAAUUAGAAAUAGCAAAGAAGACUUAUUCGUACCUUACUGAAGCUAACAUUAUGGCACGGUUGUUCAUAUGUAAUGGCUGCUCUGUUAUGCUAGCUUCUCUGUUUUUGCUUACAGUUUUGAACAUAAAUUCUUGCUCAAAUAACCCAUAAUUAAAUAACACUAAUAUGGCUCCUGAAAUCCCAUAAUAGCUAAUUACGCAACUUUCUCCUCCUCCUCAAUUCUGUCUUCCCCUGCUCGUACACUAAAUUCAAAAUUCAAUGCCCCGAAAAACAACACAAGAAAUCUUUGAGUUAAAUCGUGACCAGUUUAUAUAUCGUAGCAAUUGCUUCCACAUGAUACUUUCUAACAUUUUCUUGAAAGCCAUCAAUCAUAAAAUCUUCAUACUUUUUUCCAUCCUUUGGAUCAAUAAGUACAAAUUUCUCAUCUAAAACAGACAAAAUAAAAUCACUGUCCUUCAUGGAACAUAAUGGCUGCAAUGCCUGAACUGAAUUGGCUAAUGAAACAUAGUCUUCUUUUCUUUCUCGACAUGGAACAUAGUCUUCUUUUCUUUCUGGACAUAUGUCUCUGUACUUUUCUCUCUCUACUGAUCCACACUUUUUCAUACUUCUAACUAUCAUUUUGUUUUUUUUUUUGGUUAAGUUGUGAUUUAUUCAAUUAUUUUGUAUUUUUAAUGACAAUUAUUUAAUAUUUAGUUAGUUUUGAUAUUGAUUAGUGAUUGAAAGUGUAUUUUAGAAGACUUCCGGUCUCUUGGAAAAAGGAAAAAUGGAGACGAAGAAGAAGUGUUCUUGAUUUUUUUGUAGGCAUUAAAGUUAAACGGUUUGAAAUGAUAUUUUGUUUUAAUUUCACUCAUUAAUCUCAUUCAGGAUAAAAUUAUAAAUGCAAAUAAAUGGGGUUUCAUGAGUUUUUUUUAAUAGUGUUAAAAGGUCUACUCACUAAAUAAACAUGUUUUACCCAAACCAAUCCGAUUAAUAAAGUUAUUGGGUUGGGUUGAUCAGGUUAAAAAUCAAAAUUAAAAAUUAAAUAAAUAAAAAAGGCGUUAAAACUAUCUGUUACUUGAAAAUAAAAAGAAUUUCAAAUAGUUAGUUCUAAUGUCCCAUAUCCAAAACAUGCAUAUUAAAUAAAUAUUAUAAGUUAGAGAUAAAAUAUCCAAGAAAUAAUGAAUGAAUGAAAUACCAUAUUUUUGUUGAGAAUUAAGAGUGUGAUUUUAAUUUUGAUAUUGGAGUCUAAAGCAAUAGAUAGUACAAUGAAAUCAUGAAUGCCACAUUUAAAUAAUGUCUUUUAUAAAAUAAUAAAAAGAAGUUAAAAAUUAGGUUAGCCAUUUAGGCGUUUAGGGUUUAGCAGUUAAGGAUGAACAUAUUAUUAUUAUUGUUGUUGUUGUUGUUAUUAUAACAAUUAUUAUUUACAUAUUAAUUAAUCCAACCCAACCCAAUUAUUAACAAACUAGGAAAUAAAACCGCACUUCGUGCGGCUUUAAAAGAAAAUUAAUAUUAUUUUUUUAUUACUUUACAAUUGAUGAAACUAAUAAAAAAUAUGAAUUAUUUUUAAAAUGACGUAAUCUUAUAAAACUAAUGUUAUUUAUGAAAGUUAAUUAUUUUUUUGUUAACAUUAAAAAUAUAUAUUAAUGUAUAUAGUUAAGUGUACACAACUUUUUCAUCAAUAAAAAUUAUGUUCACAUUAAUCAACUCUCCAUUUUUCUUAGUAUUAACAGACUCUCACAUCUUACAAAGUCUGACCCUUAUUAUUCAACUAUCUUUAUCAUAGUUUAACUCAUGAAGAAAAUAGUACUCCAUGAAGCAUACAAUACUAAAAAUUUAAAUAAGUCAAAAAAUAAAAACACAAAAACAUUUCUAAAGAGAAUGUUGGUUAAAUAAUAAAAAAAACUCAAACAUAACAAAUCUUAAAUGCUUAAUAUUUAUAGAGCUUGAAGAAGCCAAAAGAUACUAAAUAAAAGGUUGCAUAAUUAAAUAUAGGAUUAUAACAUUAAAAUUAGGUCAUAAGGCAUUGGUGAGGGAAGAGGAAGGAACAUUCCUUCUUAUAUUAAUUAGUUGAUGUAUUUUAAACCACUAAAGUUUAUUUGUUGGCUUAAUAAAAUAAAUGAAUGUUUCAAAACUUAUAAUUAAUUUAUUAUUAAUGGUUAUAUAUUGUUGAAUUUAAAUAGAAAGAGAAAGAGACAUGUAAUCUUUUGUAAUCUAUUAAUUAUUUUAUAUUUUUAAUAUUUUGUAAUGUAAUUAUUUUUUAAUCUCAACCAAUAUAUUAGAUAAUAGAGAAUAAAAAAAGAUGAGAAAUAAUGAUGCCACAAAUCUUAACUACUUAAUAUUUAUAGAGUUUGAAGAAAUUAAAAUGUACUAAACAAAAGGUUGCAUAAUUAAAUAUGAGAUUACAGCAUUAAAAUUAGACCCUAAUGGCAUUGUUCGGGGAAGAUGAAGGAACAUUCCUUCCUAUAUUAAUUAGUUNNNNNNNNNNNNNNNNNNNNNNNNNNNNNNNNNNNNNNNNNNNNNNNNNNNNNNNNNNNNNNNNNNNNNNNNNNNNNNNNNNNNNNNNNNNNNNNNNNNNNNNNNNNNNNNNNNNNNNNNNNNNNNNNNNNNNNNNNNNNNNNNNNNNNNNNNNNNNNNNNNNNNNNNNNNNNNNNNNNNNNNNNNNNNNNNNNNNNNNNNNNNNNNNNNNNNNNNNNNNNNNNNNNNNNNNNNNNNNNNNNNNNNNNNNNNNNNNNNNNNNNNNNNNNNNNNNNGAGAUAGUGGGGAGACUAAGAGAUAUAUGUUAUGAACAUCUACAUUUAUUUUAAUAAAUUCAUAACACUCCCCCUUUGAUGUUCAUUAUAAAAAAUAUGCCUCAUUAAAAUCUAUUAGCCAACAAUACAAAUAAAAAAGCCACACAAUAUAAAGAAUAAAAUGAGAGAAUAUAUUAUAGAGUGAUUUUAUUCAUUCCAAUUGUGUGUGUACAAAACAAAAAGAUGUGCUCUUCUUUUAAAGUUACAUAAUCACUCUAUGAAAUUAAUGAAAAAUUAUGGAUCAUAAUUUCUUGUGAGAUAGUGGGAGUUAUAGGGAAGCUAAAUGUUGCUAAUGGGAGAUAGUGGGGAGACUAAGAGAUAUAUGUUAUGAACAUCUACAUUUAUUUUAAUAAAUUCAUAACACUCCCUUGGAUGUUCAUUACAAAGAAUAUGCCUCAUUAAAAUCUUUACAUAAUUGUUAUUGUAUAAUAAAAAUCAAAUUAAUUAUGAGAAGAUGAAAAGCCAAAUCUAAAAAAAAAAUCUCUAUUUAUUAGAUAAUAGAGAAUAUAUAAAGAAGUAAAAUGGUGAUGCCACAUCACCUACUCAAGUCCUAGCUUUAUAUAUACACUAGAAAAUAGAACCGCGUUUCACGCGGCUUUGAAAAAAAAUUUUAAUGUUAUCUUUUUUUUUUAUUUUGUGUACGGCCAAGGCGGAUGUACGGUACAGCAGAUUCCCCGGACCGCCUCAUCUAUGUAUUCGGCGCCUCCCCGAGAUAGUGGGAGUUAUAGGGAAGCUAAAGGUUGCUAAUGGAAGAUAGUGGGGAGACUAAGAGAUAUAUGUUAUGAACAUCUACAUUUAUUUUAAUAAAUUCAUAACACUCCCCCUUUGAUGUUCAUUAUAAAAAAUAUGCCUCAUUAAAAUCUAUUAGCCAACAAUACAAAUAAAAAAGCCACACAAUAUAAAGAAUAAAAUGAGAGAAUAUAUUAUAGAGUGAUUUCAUUCAUUCCAAUUAUGUGUGUACAAAACAAAAAGAUGAGCUCUCCUUUUAUAGUUACAUAAUCACUCCAUGAAAUUAAUGAAAAAUUAUGGAUCAUAAUUCCUUGUGAGAUAGUAGAAGUUAUAGGAAAGCUAAAGGUUACUAAUGGGAGAUAGUGGAGAGAGUAAAAGAUAUAUGUUAUGAACAUCUACAUUUAUUUUAAUAAAUUCAUAACACUCCCCUUUGGAUGUUCAUUACAAAAAAUAUGUCUCAUUAAAACCUUUAUAUAAUUGUUAUUGUGUAAUAACAAUCAAAUUAAUUAUGAGAAGAUGAAAAGUCAAAUCUAAAAGAAAAUUUCUCUAUUUAUUAGAUAGAUAAUAGAGAAUAUACAAAGAUGAGAAAUAGUGAUGCCACAUCACUCUCUCAAGUCUCAACUUUAUAUAGAUAUAUAGAUUUGAAAUGAUUGACUCAAUUAAUCCACAAUAAUUCAUUCAACUCGUCUAAAUUAGAUUAUGUUGAAUUUGAUUUGCUACACCUACAUUGAGCAACAAACCUCAACGACAUUCUACGAGCUCUUUGAUUGUUUAUAAAAUUGAUUUAGAGUACAUAAAGUGUAUCGACAAUGAAAGUGCAAAACAAAUUAUUGUACAUAUUAAAAUGUGCAAAACAAUGAAUUAUAUGUACAAACGAGUGCAAACACAUUUUUCAAUAAGAAGUUAAAAGAUAUUUAUGCAUGAAAAAGCCUACGUUUGUAGUUAUUCUAAAUUUUAAAAACAAAAUUUACAUUUAGAUCCCUAAAAUUUACGUAUAAGUAUAAAAGUUUCAAAUAUUGUCUAUUAUUUUUUUAACAUGCCUAUUCCUUAUGGAUAAUUCUGUCUCAUCACUAAUGUUGUUUCUUGCUUAGAAAAAAUAAAUGUCAUCUCCUUUUACAAUUUUUAUAGCGUCUCGAAAUAGACAAUAGGGGAUUUUGAAUUUUUUAAGUCUCAAGAUAGUCUCUAAUCGUGUGAGAAAGAUUUUCUUUCAAUAAUUUGGAGCUAAACAUAACAUAUUUUUUAGACUAAAAUCUAACUCUGCUGGUUAGUAGUUGGUGGUAUCCUUUUCAAGACUUGAGUCUUUAGAUUCGAGUUUUAUAUAGUGUACAUGUGUAUUUAAUUAAUAAUUUUUUUCAAAAAAAAAAAUUACAUCAAAUACUAAUAUUCAUGACAUAAUUUAGUUCAUAAUUUUUUUAAAUACAUCGAAAAAUAUAAUUUUUUAACAACUUAUAGGCACGACAAAUUUCAAGAUAUAAAUAUCAGUCAAAAUAAAUGAAAGAAAUAAUGGUGUCAAUUCUAAUUUCUUAACUAAAUUAAUUAUUGCAUGAGCCCCGAAUACGACAUGAGAGUUUGAUGGGCUAACUUGGCACAAGAACGCGAAUAGUUAACUCAUUUAAGAAAUAAUUCAACAAAAAAUAUAAUUGAUAAGAAUUCAGUAUUGAAAUGAAUUUUUUACGAAACAUUGAAUUAAUGAUUAUUAAGCAAGAACAAUAAAAAAAUAAAAUAAAAAUAAAUAUUAACCAUUGAUAAGCUUCAACAAGAACUUAACACAACCCUCAAUCCUAAUUCAAAUCAUAAAUGUCAUUCAUAUAUUCAUUAUAAAUCAAUAACAAAGGUUAUAAAUGUUUAGAAAUUCUAGAGGGAAGGAAGCUAUCUCCGGGGAAUCAACAACUAAAUUUGAUGUAAUUGUGGCACACAAUUGCUAAGGCUUGUCAUUUUUUGUUUUUGAACAGAUAGAGUUACAAUUAAGUCAUACUGCAAUAUUUUAUCUUGAGAUUCUAUUAUUCACAAAAAGAAAAAAAUCAUAAAUUGAAAAAAAAAAAAAAGAGGUUACGAGCAUCAAGCAACUGCAAGUAAUGGGGUUUGUUUUGAUGAGCUGCGAAUUGGGGCCUGUCAUUUUCUUGAAGUAUCUUCAAUAUAAGUGGAAGGAGAUUUCUUCUCUCCAAAAAAUUAUUGUAUAUUUCCUUUUAAAUUCUAGAUUCGCAUGUAGCUGAUUUUUUAUGUUUGAAGGAUUUUAUUAAAGAAUGUGCUGCUGCUAGUGGCAUGAAUUAAUGUAGUCUCGCUAGUAUUCGUGAUUUGGGGUAAGGAUCGAAUUGAACAAUUAUAUUUCUAUUAUUCUUAUAUUCGAAUCCAGUGAUAUUGUGGUGGUUUUAUGAUAAUAUUCAAUUGUUUUGUGCCUCAAAUCAGCCAAUGAGUUGGGUAUGUGCUGGGUAUAUGCCGUAUGGGCUUGUUGUUGAAUUUGCUUGACCUUGGAUGUGAUUCUUGCCGUGUUUAUAAGAAAUAGACACAGGUCUUUGUGUGGUAAUAGAAUUGUCUAAGGUGCCUUACAAUAAAUUUAAGAGUCUUAAGUAACUAUGCUUUGUAACCUUAAACCUUUAUUUGUACGACUUGGUGUUCUUGGUUGUGAAAGAAUGUUAAAUGUUGACCUAUUUUCAUCGGUGAAGAUAAAUGAAGUUAGGGAAGGUUUGUAAUCACUAUAACCCUGACAAUUUUUUUGGUGGGCCGUGAUAAUUUUAUUCAUGGCAUGUACUUUGUUUUUAUCAGAAGGCCCUGUUUGCUUGUAGUCUCAAAUCUAGGGUAAUAUUUUAAAUAAGUUCUGCAAUAUAUGUUUUGCUAUUUUUCUUUUUUGUUUUUAUUUUAAUUAGUUUUAGUAUUACUUGGAGGGGAAUUCUGAUCUGCUGAAGUUUAUCAAGCUGGUGCAGUGGUGCAGCAAGCAGACCUUUAUCUUAAUCUUAUGAUUGUGCUAAGUGGAAUUUUGUGUAAGUUACAACAAUAUAAUUUUUUAAAGAGCUGACAAGACGCUCUCUCUUUUUUUUGGAAUGUUGAGCAAAACUUUUCUUUCUUAUUAGGUGUUUAUAAUAAUUCAUAGCAUGGGUUUUGUCAUAUUGGUUUCAAUGCAUUGAUUUGAUCUUGGUUACAACCCAUCAGCCCUUACUCCUCAUUCCCAGCAGCUUUUAAUGCCUUUUUUUUAAGCAUUGUACUUUGUUUCAUGAUGAAAUUUGUUUAUAUGACGCAAAGUUGAGGACACGGUAAUAGUCAUUAUUUUAAUUUAUGCAACAAAGAUCAUUAUCCAUUAAAUUUUAUGUUGUUGAAAUAUUUAGAUUUUGUAAAUUUUGUUCUGCUGUACCGUACAUCCGCCUUGGCCGUACAGCAGACUCUAAUAAUAAAAAUUCUACUUAAAUAAAUUAUAUUUGAAAAGGUAUACCAAACGAACCUAACAUAAAAACAAAAAUUUUUACAUCCACACAAUUAAGCUUAAAACAAUUUCAAAUGAAUUUUAGACUACUCAAAGUACAAUACGUACCAAGUUUGGUAACUUAUUGGGGUCCGCUUGUAAUACAGCUCAUGAGCUCUUUUUAAAAAAAUUUUGAAUCUCUACUUUCAGAAGCUCAAAUUUUUAGUUUUUAGUUAUAGAGACAAAAUAUCGUAUUUAAUGUUUAAAAGUUCUGCUAAAAACAAUCAAAUAAUUACAAAAAUUUUAACAUAAACUAUUUUGUCUCUAUUAGGAAAAACUCAAAUUUUAGGUUUUUGUGAGUAAAUGUUUAAAUUUUUUUAAAAAUAUUAAAAUAUUAAAGUAAAAGUUGUAGAGACAAAAUAUCUUAUUUAAUGUUUAAAAGUUCUGCUAAAAAUAAUCAAAUAACUACAAAAAUUUUAAUAAGAGCAUAUAAAAUUAAAUAAGCAUUUAUUAAUAGUCACUUUAGUAUACUUAUCUAAUGACCAUAAGUGUUUAUUUAAUCUAAUGAGCUCUUUUUAAUUUUGUUUGUUUGUUUUUUUAGUAGAGUUUUUGAAAAUUAAAUAAACUAUUUUGUCUCUAUUAGGAAAAACUUAAAAUUUAGGUUUUUGUGAGUAAAUGUUUAAAUUUUUUUACAAAUAUUAAAAUAUUUUUUUCUUUAUUUCAUAAUCUUAUUUCAUUCUUCACAACAUAACUUUAAAUAACUCACCUAUUAAAAUAAUUUCACAAUUUAUAAUAAAAAUUCUAAUUGACAAUCAAAUAACAAUUUUUUUUUAAUAAAAAUUCUACUUAAAUAAAUUAUAUUUGAAAAAGUAUACUAAACAAACUUUUUUUAGACUAAUCAAAGUACAUCUUCUCAUAAAAUAAUUUCACAAUUUCUAAAAAAAACUCUAAUUGACAAUUAAGUAACAACUUUUUUUUUUUUGUAAAAACUUUAUUUAUAAAAAAUCUAAUAAUAAAAAUUCUAUUUAAAUAAAUUAUAUUUGAAAAUGUAUACUAAACCAACCUAACAUAAAAACAAAAAUUUUUACAUCCAGACAAUUAAGCUUAAAACAAUUUCAAAUGAAUUUUAGACUAAUCAAAGUACAAUACGUACCAAGUUUGGUAACUUAUUGACAUCUUCUCAUAUAACCUUCGAUCAAGUCGAUUCUCACCUGACGACUAAUUGGUACAUCACCGUUGUUCUCUAUACUCGCAUGCAUCCGAUCACAAAUCUCACUCCAAUUGUCGUCUUUCUUCGGCGUUUUAGCGCAUCCUUCUUGAAUUUCCCGCAUUUCGUUCCCUCCUGUUACAAGUCUCCGGUCAGGUCAGUUCUCUUGACGAUUAAUUCGGCAAAUCUCGAAUCUCUUCUCUAUCCCUCUCGUUUUCUCGUGUCUCCUUUCAGUUUAAGUGAUUGAAUCAAUUUUAUCGCAGUCUUAAGAGAAAUUAAGUAAUGCUCUUGGAUUUAAAAUUUUUUUGCUUUCGACUUUAGAUCUCGAAAGUCAAACUCUGCUACGAAUCCAUAGAUUCUCAAUGUUUAUAAUCUUAUUUGUGUUUGACCAGGUAACUGGAUCGUGAAAUUCGUCGUUUUGUAUCAAUUCAAGCUUUCGCGAGCUCAUGGAAUCACCUGGUGAGUUGUGGUGAAACGUUAUCGUUUCAAUUUUCGCUUAAUUCUUUAUUGCAUAUUUUUUUCUCUCUAAUAUUUCAGUUUAAUUUAGAAAAGAAAGAGGACCCAAAAAGAGAGAGAGAGAGAGAGACUCUACCAUACUCAAUUCCUUGCUCAUUCUGAUUUGGCCUGAAUGUUGGCAUUGACUAUUAUUUGUUUUCAUUUCGAUUUAAUUCUCAUUUAGACAGUCUUUUUUAACUAGCAAUAAUCUUUUUAAGGAAAAUGAUAAUAGGGAUUCUGCAAUAAUCUUUCUGCAUUGUUCAAGUUAGUAGACAAUGAAUAGGNNNNNNNNNNNNNNNNNNNNNNNNNNNNNNNNNNNNNNNNNNNNNNNNNNNNNNNNNNNNNNNNNNNNNNNNNNNNNNNNNNNNNNNNNNNNNNNNNNNNNNNNNNNNNNNNNNNNNNNNNNNNNNNNNNNNNNNNNNNNNNNNNNNNNNNNNNNNNNNNNNNNNNNNNNNNNNNNNNNNNNNNNNNNNNNNNNNNNNNNNNNNNNNNNNNNNNNNNNNNNNNNNNNNNNNNNNNNNNNNNNNNNNNNNNNNNNNNNNNNNNNNNNNNNNNNNNNNNNNNNNNNNNNNNNNNNNNNNNNNNNNNNNNNNNNNNNNNNNNNNNNNNNNNNNNNNNNNNNNNNNNNNNNNNNNNNNNNNNNNNNNNNNNNNNNNNNNNNNNNNNNNNNNNNNNNNNNNNNNNNNNNNNNNNNNNNNNNNNNNNNNNNNNNNNNNNNNNNNNNNNNNNNNNNNNNNNNNNNNNNNNNNNNNNNNNNNNNNNNNNNNNNNNNNNNNACUUCAUGGAAGCAAUGAAGCUUGAAAUUGAAUGUCCGCAGCUGAAUCUUUCUGCAGCUGAAAGGGAUAGAGCUUUAUUGUCAAUCGGAACUGAUCGCAACAUCUGUUGGAGCUUCACAAUCCCCUUUGUUGUGUUCUCAAUGUGAAAGAAAAGUUUGCAAAGUUUGUUGUGCAGGAAGAGGAGCUCUACUGUUUUCAAAUUAUAAAUCAAGGGAUGUGACCAACUACAAUGGCUUCUCAAGUCAGAGUGGAUCAAGCCAUGGAAGCCAAGUUGAUGUACCUACCAGUCGUUCACUAACACUGGAUGGCGUUGUCUGUAAACACUGCUGCCAUGAGAUUGUGCUUGAUGCAUUGAUGUUGGACCAUGUUAGGGUCUUGAUUAGCUUGCGAAGAAGUUCCCGUGCAGACAACACAGCAUACAAUGCUUUGAAUGAGGUUGUUGGAUCCUGCUUAAAGGAUAGUCUUUCUGAAAGGAUUCAGUCUUCCGAUAACGUGCAAGCUGCUGAAGUCCUUCACCAAUUAUGUGGUGGACAGGAAUCUCUUGCUGAAUUUCCAUUUGCUAGCGUUUUGCACUCGGUAUGUUCUUGGUUUGUAUUCAGUUCUCAUCAUGUUAUGUUUUCCUUUUAAAUUUCUUUUCUUGAUUAAAAUUUUUAGAAAUAUGUUUUAGUAUUUGUUCUUAUGAUAUAUGCCCAGAACAUUCAUCCCACUUAUCCAUGAGAAUCCUUGUCUGGUUUGAUUUUCAAUUGAGACAUUUUUGGGAACCCUGAGCAGGUUCCAUAUGCUAAUAAUCUUUGAGGUAAGGUGUUGUAGGAUGCCUUGAGAAGCUAAAAACCAAUUACAAGGAAAAGCUCUUGCAUUGUUUUGUGCAAUCUGUGUGCUAGCAAGUCAUGUCUCUAAUAAUUUCAUAGUUCGCUUGAUUGGAAUUUUUUAUCUUGAUAUGGAUUGUUUAUUCUAGAUUCCUUGGUGCCACUGUAGGUUGAAACAGCAAAAGAUUCAGCACCGAUUUUGUCACUGCUUGCUCCAUUAAAUUCUGGAUCAAGGCACUCAUAUUGGAGAGCUCCACCUAGUACUACUUCUGUUGAAUUUGUUAUUGUUCUCGGUUCUGUUUCUGAUGUCAGUGGGGUUAUCUUGCUUGUUAGUCCUUGCGGCUAUCUGUGGCUGACACUCCGAUGGUAAGUGCCAUAUUUAUUCCCUUAUUUCCUUGUUGUUCAAUAAAUUUGGUGAUAAGCCAAGUGGCCUUAAUAAUGAAGCCCAGUACCAGGGGUGGUGGGUAAUCGAUAUUCAACUUGUGAAUAUUCCUAAGCAAGCACGGAAUCAACAUAGACGUCGGCAAAAAUUCUCCAUGCUAUUAUAACGAAAGUCAUAUUUUGAAAUGAUUAAAAGAGUCCCUGUGUAGUGCCAUUUCCAAAGAAAUUGCAGCUGGGGGUUUAGUUUCAUGUAGGUUAGUUUCCGAUAAUAAACUUUCCAUUUCAUUAAUUGCUGAUGAAAAAACCAAGUAAGAACAGUUUCGUUGCUCGUCAUUUAUGUAUAUUUUGGUAAACUGUAAUUUUAAAUUCUCAACGAUCUUCCCUUGGUAGGUAAGAAGAUGGUCCACUCACUUUAUAUUUAUGAUUGUAGAUCAGGUUUCUAUUGGUUUGCCUUUAUCAUUGGGAACCCAAGUUUGAUAUUAACAGAGAUCACGUCAAUAAUAUCCUAUUUGGGUAGAUGUGGGUGAGGAUUUAAAAUCAAAUUUGAAAUUGAGGGCAAAGAAGAGAAAAGAAACCGCAAUAAUUAAACAAAAUAUUAGGAACUAUUCUGAUGAGUUUUAAUCUCGAGAGGAACAAUUUUCAAAUGCAAAAUUUAACUGCUAGAGAAAUUGUCGCAUUGUUUGGAUCACAUUACGUCUUCAGAGACCUGGUUCGGCUUCAGUUAAUUUCGGGAAGGACCUCAGUCUUUUGUCUCUUGAUGAAGAUGAAAACCCCUUUGCACAAGUAGACAGACGUGCUUCAUUUGGAGGAGCAGUUGAAAAUGAACCAUGUAUUCAUGCCAAAAGAAUUCUUGUAGUCGGAAGCCCAGUAAAAAGGGAGGGGCUUACCUCAUCACAGAGCUCUGAGCAGCUAAGUAUUAGAAACUGGUUGGAUAGAGCUCCACAAAUGAGUAGAUUCAAGGUAUUAGUUGCUUUCACUCUUUGUUCAUUCAUAAUUCCAGCUUUCUGCUUGAUGCCCUGCCUCUGAUAAACCUCUUUUUUUCUCUUCAGGUCCCAAUUGAGGCCAAGAGAUUGAUGGACUACGAUCUCGUCUUGGAACAAUAUCUACCUCCAGCGUCACCUUUGCUUGCCGGAUUCCAUCUAGACGCUUUCAGUGCAAUAAAACCUAGGGUUACCCAUUCACCUUCCUCAGAUUCAGAUAUCUGGGACAAAUCAGUAACAUUUUUAGAAGACAGGUACAUCUCUCAAGCUGUGUUGUAUUUACAAGUAUCCGCACUCCAGGAACCACAUAACAUGGUAACUAUUGCGGAAUAUCGACUGCCGGAGGCUAGAGCCGGAACGCCAAUGUACUUUGAUUUCCCACGACCGAUACAGUCCCGACGAGUUUCAUUCAAGCUUCUUGGAGAUGUUUCUAGACGCUUUCAGUGCAAUAAAACCUAGGGUUACCCAUUCACCUUCCUCAGAUUCAGAUAUCUGGGACAAAUCAGUAACAUUUUUAGAAGACAGGUACAUCUCUCAAGCUGUGUUGUAUUUACAAGUAUCCGCACUCCAGGAACCACAUAACAUGGUAACUAUUGCGGAAUAUCGACUGCCGGAGGCUAGAGCCGGAACGCCAAUGUACUUUGAUUUCCCACGACCGAUACAGUCCCGACGAGUUUCAUUCAAGCUUCUUGGAGAUGUUACAGCAUUUGCAGAUGAACCUUCAGAACAAGAUGAUUCAGGAUUGAGAGCUCCACUUGUGGCCACAGGUUUGUCUUUGUCAAACAGAAUCAAGUUAUAUUAUUAUUGUGAUCCUUAUGAGCUCGGAAAAUGGGCAAGCCUUUCUGGAGUUUGAUCGUUAUUUAUAUGUCAGAGAAAGGGUUUUGGGUUUGAUUUUGAUUUUGAUUUGUAAUUUUUGUCAGUUUAUUGAAAUUUUUUGUUGUAUAAAAGCAGAAUGUAAAGGUAUAAAAAUUCAUUGAUGCUGCAAUGUCUGUGCUUUUGAGAAAGAAGAAUUAAUUGUCUUUUCUAUGCCAUUGGAGUUUCCCACUGCUUGUAUACUUGGGCUGUCGAAUGCUCUGUGAACCUUAAGGGCUAUAAAGUAAUUUUCAAGACUGAAGGAUUUAUUAAUCGAGUUCAAAAGAUUGUAAGUUGGUGACUGGUGAGCGUUGGCAUUUAAAAAUCAAUUGUUAUUCUCUCAAUAAUCUCUCUCUUCUCCUCGUGAAGUGUUUUCUUUUUCGAGUGAAGGUGGUUUUCUACUUGCAUACGUCGGGGGUCUUAUGAUAUGUAAUGUGUGAAAUUUCUUUCUCAUUUUACCAUAAAGAAAAAUGUUGUAAUAAUCUAAAGCUCGAGUCUUAAAUUAUCUUAAAUUUAUAUUUAGAGUGGAGCUAUUCGCAACCCUAUAUUAAAAUUACAAUUAAAAACAAUUGAAAAUUAAACACUUAUAGAUUCUUUUUACAGCAAAUUACUUAAUUCAUAAUCAAUCCUUUAAAAAAAAAAUACAUAUGUUAUUUCUUAUCUAACUAAAAUAAAUUGUACAAAUUUAGAAUAAUCUAUUGUUCUCUUUUGAUUUCUUAUUAUUUAAAUAUUUUUAUACAUAAAGUUACUUUGAAAUUAUAAUUUGAAAUAUGUGUUAUUUCAGCCAAUGAUUAACACUAAAAAAUUUAUCACCCAUAUAACUUUUUAAUUUGUGUGUAGGGUAAUAAUAAAAUCGAAAAUAAUUAAAAAAAUAGUACAAUAAUGAUUUUUAACAAUAAAACAAAUCAAAUGAAAAUUGAAAAUUUAGAAAAGUGUAUCUAAAAAAAGGAACGUUUUCAAAAAUAAAAUGAAUAUAACUAAAAAGAGAUUUUAUGAGGAGAUCACUGGGGUGCCAAUAGUCCAACUUGUAAUUAAGAAUCUCCCAUUAUAUUGUCAACCAAAAAGACACUUGAAUAAGAAGAAGAAUUUAUCAGUUUGAUUUUAUUUGUAGAUCCAACAUUUCUCAUAUCCUGAACGCCUUUUCGUAUCAAAUUAAAACAGUAGUAGCAAAAUCGUAGUAUUAAAAUCGUAGUGCACAUUCAAUUAACCAACUAAUAGUCUUUGGUAUAAGAUUUUAUAUUAGGUAGCCAAGUAGGUUGUCCAUCCCACUCAGACAUGCACGAAAGCUAAAUUCAUCAAAUGAAUUACUUAAGAAGUAUUUGAUAAUUUUGAAAUUAUCAAAAGGUGUUAUACUAUUAAAUAUUUUUAUACUUAAAAUUGUUUUGAAAUUAUAAGUUCAAAUUAAAAUAAUAGUAGCAAAAUCGUAGUGCACAUUCAAUUAACCAACUAAUAGUCUAAGAAGCAAAGAGAGGAUUACAAGUUCACAACACCAUUACAAAGGAUUCAAAAUUCCCACACGAAUACAUCAAUGUACAGAUUAUAAACAAUCCGAAUUGGACACAAGAAAAACCCUUCAAUAGAUUGCUUGCCUUCCCAAUGCUAUAUACUGUGCAAACUGCGCAUUGGCCAAGAAAAUGUUUUCAAUUUAGUGUAUUUUCAAAAUGCUUAUUUUCUCAUAGUAUAAAAAAUAAAAAAAAUAAGAAAGAAUUCUCACAUGUUUCAUCAGCAUGAUUAAAAUCAAAGAAGAAAGCGAGACAUAAUGUCUCUGACAUAAUAAAAUUACAAAAAUUUCAAGGAAAAAAAAAGGUUACAUGUUUCAUCAGCAUGAUUAAAAUCAAAAGCGAGACAUAAUGUCUCUGACAUAAUAAAAUUACAAAAAUUUCAAGGAAAAAAAAAGGUUAAAACAUGUAAUCUUCAGAAGCAUAUAAUAAAAGAACACUUCCACAAAUUACUACAAUUUCAUGCAGUAGAGAUUGAAGAGUUGAAUUCCACUAAUUUUAAUAAUGAAAACAACAACAGAGGAUUAACUGAUGCUUUGACUUAUUAGUUCUGCAGAGCAUCUCCAAAAGCCUAUAUAAAUUUUACUCUUCAAAUACUUAUUUGCUUACCUAUGUGGCAAAUAAAAGGGUGAAAAAAUAUGAUAUUCUCCAAAAGACUCUUCAAAUAGAAAAAAGUUAAUAUUAUUUUAAUCAUAUAAUUAAUUUUUUAAAGAAAAAGUCAAUAGCAAUUAAAGCACUUCUCUCUCUUUCUUCAAUGAAAAGUAAUAAAAUAUAAAUUGAAGAGGGAGAAAUUAACUCUCCAAAUUUGAAGAGAGAGAAUUAAUUCUUAUUUAAAGAAUCUUAAUUGAAGUGUCUUUUGGAGCUUUAAAUAUUGAUGUGGCUCUUCAAAUAAGUAAUAAAAUCUUAUUUGAAGAGCCUUUAAAUAAGGUGCACAGAGGAUUAACUGAUGCUUUGACUUAUUAGCAGGUUGCUUUGACUUAUUAGUUCUGCAGCUAAGUUAAAUAAAAUAAGCUAUUUUCAAAAGCAAAAUGGAAUACAUAGAUAAAAACAUCAUCUUAAACAAAUCACAAUCUAGAAUUAGAGCAUUUUCGACAUACCUAAGGAAAACGAAUACGUGAAAACGGGUGAUUCAUUUGUUAAGGAGUAUCAUCUUAAACAAAUCACAAUCUAGAAUUAGAGCAUUUUCGACAUACCUAAGGAACACGAAUACGUGAAAACGGGUGAUUUAUUUGUUAAGGAGUGUUGAUUUGGUCGUCUCUGCAAAUUCUUUAGGGACUCGGUUCCAAUUCCUCUUCAUCAAAACUGUAAUAUAAUUCCCCUUCAUCAGAACUCGAAUCGAUGCAAUAUAAUUCCCCUUCAUCAGAACUCGAAUCAAAUUCACUUGCAGCAGUUCCACUCGCGCUUGGCAAAUCAUCCAAUUUCCAAACUUCGGUAACAAAAUUGAGAGUAAAAGUGUUGGCUUUGAUCUCGCUGGGAUUUGCAUAUACUGGACAUACUCCGCAACGUUUUAUCUUCUGACCCUUUUGGACCUUUAUUAUGUUUCGGUGACACUCAUUGAAGAACUUAAAUGUGGCAGUUGAAUGAUGGUCACCAUCAGGAAAGCCAACAUUCAAGCAAGGUUUAAAACCAAGUAUGACAUGAUCUGAAUCAUGGGGGUCUUGAAUUGAGUGCAAAUUGUAACCCAGAUGAACAUGUUUGGUUUCAGAGAGAGUCUUUAUUUCUAAGUCGGAUCGACAGUAAACGUAAAAAUAACGA
rnacentral:lncRNA from 1 species